rnacentral:rRNA from 1 species
UACGGAGGAUGCGAGCGUUAUCCGGAUUUAUUGGGUUUAAAGGGUGCGUAGGCGGCUUAGUAAGUCAGCGGUGAAAUUUUGCAGCUUAACUGUAACAGUGCCGUUGAUACUGCAUGGCUAGGAUUUGGUUGCUGUGGGUGGAAUGCGUGGUGUAGCGGUGAAAUGCUUAGAUAUCACACAGAAUAUCAAUUGCGAAGGCAGCUCACAAAGCCAAGAUUGACGCUGAGGCACGAAAGUGUGGGGAUCAAACA